rnacentral:rRNA from 1 species
UACGGGGGGAGCAAGCGUUGUUCGGAUUUACUGGGCGUAAAGGGCGGGUAGGCGGCCACCGCAAGUCAGUUGUGAAAUCUCCGGGCUUAACUCGGAAAGGUCAACUGAUACUGUGCGACUAGAGUGCGGAAGGGGCAACUGGAAUUCUUGGUGUAGCGGUGAAAUGCGUAGAUAUCGAGAGGAACACCUGCGGCGAAGGCGGGUUGCUGGGCUGACACUGACGCUGAGGCGCGAAAGCUAGGGGAGCGAACGGG